UAUCAUCUUACCUUGAAUUGGGCACAAUCGCCACUUUCGGUAGACCCGUGGUACCGCUAGUGUAGAUGUAAAUCAACUUGUCCCUGUAUCCAAUCUCUUCUGUCACAACCGGUUCCUCUGUGCCGGCUUCCGCUAGCAAUUUAUUCAAAUUCUGCACGCCGAUUUCGUCUUUUUCAGGGUUGGUGUACACCUUGUACAUCUGUACAUUCGGCAUCGAGUCCUUGAUGUCGUUGAUGGCUAAAACAAGAAUUGACAUUUCGCACGUUUUUUAUAAUCGUUCACCGUCCGUAGUUCCUGUGCCCACACCUUUGCGAAGACUGCACGGAAAUAGCAACUAACUCAAAGGGCUCGGAGGCAAUUAUCAAAGAUUCACCGAGCAAACUUCAUCGGUAUGAUUUACGAACAGGAGUAGGAAGAAACCGUCGUAUAAAUAUAGUCCAUUUGAAGGUUCGUUAAAAAUAAUUUUCUUAUAACAGUAGACGACGAUGGUAAAAGUGAUAGCAGUAGAUCAAUAAGCAAGAAAAUCUACUGCAGUCGACUCCAAUAAAGUACCAAAAGCUAAUUUUGAACGUUCUACUACGAAGUAAUUGCGUCAUUAACGACAACUACUACUGCUACUAAAUAUAAGGUUUAAAUAGUUUAAUGUUCCAUUGAUUCUGAUAAUGAAUUUCCCAUUAGCGAAUGUUCUGAAAAUUGAUCAUUUCAAAGAUCAGUACCUAUUACAACAUAUCUAUUUACCUAGGCACCUACUUAAGCACUAGUAAUCUAAUUAGUGGACUCUGGACGCUCGAACAAGCUUUUAUUUUUCUCAAAUCCGAAUCAAAGAGUUUCGCGUCAGCUUAAAAGAUUAUUUAAAUUAGCAAUAAAUGAUAAAGUUAAUUAAUUAUUUUCACAUAUACGUUUAUAUUUAUAGCACGAUGUAAUAAACAUAAUAUCUGCUGUACAGUAAUCUGUUUCAGGCUAAUGAAAUUUUAUAUCAGCGUUUCGAACCUCUACUUUGUUGCUUGUAAUGCUUUGUUUUCUACGCAAUAAAAUGACUAGAAAAAAAAAGAGCGAACAUUUUAGUGGAGAGUCGAUUGAAACGUACGUCAGAAUUGGUCCAAACACGAUCCUCCAUGAUGAAACAUGGCUUCGUGGGGUAACGUUCCACUCUCUUCUUAAAAAUCUUCGUGACAGUCAUAUUGUUCCGACGUUGGACUUUCAUCUCAAGCUCAGCCGUUAUAGCACGAUAAAGAAAUCUGAAACACAAAGUUAAUUUUUACAAUGUAAUGCGCGUCGUUUGAAUUCGACGCGUUACUCCGCAAUCCAUCAUCGAAAUGUGCUCCAUUUCCAUGCUGGUUGUUGAUUCUAAAUUCAAACGCGAUGUUCACGUUCUUAAUCAGCAUUUCAAAAUGUUUCUUUUUCUUUUUUGUUUAAAUUCAUAGCACUCUCUUAACGCACAUUACUAUAAUAAGCAAUGUUUUGAAUUUAUUUAAUUAAUAUACAAGAACUGAAAUAUUAAUCGUUGGGUACAUUUCGUUGCUAAAUGUGUACAUGCAUACUCGAAUCUAAAAAAUAUUAUGAAACUUUGUACACGUGUAGCACACCUGUUCAAAAUUUAAUUAGGUUCACAUGGGUUGAAUUGUCUCUAAUAAUAAUGUCUCUAAUAAUAAUAAAUAAUAAUAGUAAUAAUUUACUAAUAAUUUAAGAACUGUCCGUCCAGUUCACGCUGCAUUCGCCAUUGAUCGUCGUAAUUUGGUAAUAAAAAUACGCAUAAACUAACAAGCGUGUUCAUUUCCGGAUAAACCUAUUUGAUAUCCUCGUCACGUUACGUAUCCUUGCCGCGAAAUUCAGCAACUUUUAAAAAUAGCUUCUUAUAAAGAAGAGCUUCUACGUGAUUGAGUACACGAAAACAAAUUCAUGCAUGUACCAGUAGUAGCAUACAGUCUAUAGAGAAUGCACAAGAAUGUGCAGAACUUCGCGCUGCUUUUCCAUCUAACGCUUUGAAUGUGACUUGCACAAUUUUUUCAUUAAACUUGAAAAUUAGUUUUUAUUACUAUUAUUUAUUGAAUUUCAUUGCUAUUAUUUACUAUAUUUUAUGCUACCAGGUGUAAGAUUUUGUUAGAUUCCACGAGAUACGAAAGGGUUGGAAAAAGCAAUUGUGGUGGAUAAUCCUGAUGUUUAUUGCUGUAAUAUUAACGAAACCAUUUGUUCUGUUUCCGUAUGCCUUUUAUGGACACUGGUAUGGCUGCGGGCAUGGUGUAUAGCACCGGACAGCUAUUCUGUCGAUACACCAAAGCGCAAAUACGUAUUAAUCAUUCAUCGUGACUCUGUAAAUCCGUUGGCAGAACUUUGCAUAAAUGUUAGAGAAUAAAAAUAUAAACUUA